UAAUAAAUAGUCCAAAGGAGAGUUUGUUCAAACAUCUAAUCAAGCAAGUUCAAAUUGGAAUGGAUUUGACUCGAAUAACCCUUCCAACAUAUAUUCUAGAGAGAAGGUCGUUGUUGGAAAUGAUUGCAGAUUUUUUUUCUCAUUGUGAUAUAUUUUCCAAGUAGAAUUAAUAUUUGGUGUAUAUUUGAGUAUAACAAACCAUGAUGAUCCUCGUACUCGUAUGGUCGAGGUGGUCAGAGCUUACAUUUCUUGUUUUCAUUACGGGCGAAAUCCUGAAAUUGCUAAAAAACCGUACAACCCUAUUCUUGGAGAGAUUUUUCGUUGUUAUUGGGACCUUGAUGAUGAUAAUUCUGCAGUUGUCAAAAAUGGACCGGUUCCAUGGGCAAAAGAAGGCCAUGUCGCUUUUCUUGCAGAACAAGUCUCUCACCGCCCUCCAGUGAGUGCAUUCUACUUGGAAAAUGUUAAACAAAAAACUUCUAUUGAAGGACAAAUAUGGACAAAUUCAAAGUAUUUGGGACUUUCUGUAGCUGUUCAUAUGGUGGGCUCAGCUGUUAUUAGAUUGGAGAAUCGAGAUGAGACAUAUACUCUCUCUUUUCCUUCAGGAUAUGCUCGUUCAAUUUUUACCGUUCCGUGGUACGAACUAUGCGGAAAAGUUAGAAUUUCUUCAUCCUCAGGAUUUGUG